CAGCCGUAAACUACGCUCGCUAGGUGUCAGGCAUGGCGCGACCGUGUCUGGUGCCGCAGGGAAGCCGUGAAGCGAGCCACCUGGGAAGUACGGCCGCAAGGCUGAAACUUAAAGGAAUUGGCGGGGGAGCACAACAACGGGUGGAGCCUGCGGUUUAAUUGGACUCAACGCCGGACAACUCACCGGGGACGACAGCAAUAUGUAGGCCAGGCUGAAGACCUUGCCUGAAUCGCUGAGAGGAGGUGCAUGGCGUAGACGUGU
rnacentral:rRNA from 1 species